CGGAACACGUACAGAACCUUCCUUUAAGCGGGGAUAGCCCAUAGAAAUGUGGAUUAAUACCCCAUAGUAAUAUUUGGUGGCAUCAUUAGAUAUUUAAAGAUUUAUCACUUAAAGAUGGCUGUGCGGCUGAUUAGGUAGUUGGUGUGGGUAACGGCCUACCAAGCCAGCGAUCAGUAACUGGUGUGAGAGCACGACCAGUCACACGGGCACUGAGACACGGGCCCG
rnacentral:rRNA from 1 species